rnacentral:rRNA from 1 species
AACGAACGCUGGCGGCAGGCUUAACACAUGCAAGUCGAGCGCCCCGCAAGGGGAGCGGCAGACGGGUGAGUAACGCGUGGGAACGUACCUUUUGGUUCGGAACAACUCGGGGAAACUGGAGCUAAUACCGGAGAAGCACUAACGGGGAAAGAUUUAUCGCCGAAAGAUCGGCCCGCGUCUGAUUAGCUGGUUGGUGAGGUAAAGGCUCACCAAGGCGACGAUCAGUAGCUGGGCUGAGAGGAUGAUCAGCCACACCGGGGCUGAGACACGGCCCAGACUCCUACGGGAAGGAGCAGUGGGGAAUAUUGGACAAUGGGCGCAAGCCUGAUCCAGCCAUGCCGCGUGAGUGAUGAAGGCCUUAGGGUUGUAAAGCUCUUUUGUCCGGGAAGAUAAUGACUGUACCGGAAGAAUAAGCCCCGGCUAACUUCGUG